AUUGAACGCUGGCGGCAUGCCUUACACAUGCAAGUCGAACGGCAGCGGGGGAGAAGCUUGCUUUUCCUGCCGGCGAGUGGCGAACGGGUGAGUAAUACAUCGGAACGUGCCCUGUAGUGGGGGAUAACUAGUCGAAAGAUUAGCUAAUACCGCAUACGACCGGAGGGUGAAAGUGGGGGACCGCAAGGCAUCAUGCAAUAGGAGCGGCCGAUGUCUGAUUAGCUAGUUGGUGGGGUAAAGGCCUACCAAGGCGACGGUCAGUAGCUGGUCUGAGAGGACGAUCAGCCACACUGGGACUGAGACACGGCCCAGACUCCUACGGGAGGCAGCAGUGGGGAAUUUUGGACAAUGGGCGAAAGCCUGAUCCAGCAAUGCCGCGUGUGUGAAGAAGGCCUUCGGGUUGUAAAGCACUUUUGUCCGGAAAGAAAUGGCUCUGGUUAAUACCUGGGGUCGAUGACGGUACCGGAAGAAUAAGGACCGGCUAACUACGUGCCAGCAGCCGCCGUAAGAC
rnacentral:rRNA from 1 species